GGCCGUGUGGCCCAAUGGCAAGGCGCUUGACUACGAUUAAGUCGAUAUCAAGAGAUUCCAGGUUCGACCCCUGGCACGGUCA
rnacentral:tRNA from 1 species